AUGAAUAAUAAUAAAGAUUUCAUAAUUUAUGUAAUUGGAGAUAAUAUUUCUCUAUUACUUAUUAGGUUCAGGCCUCAAAACAGCCCUAUGAUGUCAAGAAACAACCUUGGAGAAGUUAAGUACAUUUAUCAUCCAAAGUCACUCCUCCAGGAAAAGCUUCUCUUUUUCAGAUUCGCUUGACUGCUUGGUUACUCCAAAGAGGAGAUGCCCCAUUCUCUCUGGAUCUGAGCCUCUUGCCUCCCUGUGUCUCAACCCUAUCAGGAAAUAUCCAUGCUUUGUCCUAAGCUGGAGACCAAAGUUAAGGGGGACAGCCUGAGACACUUGCCUUCAGUAACCUCUCCAGCUGCAAAGUGAAUGACGUCUAGUGCGAUGCUUUUUCUAAAGCCUAAUCAGUUCCCACAGUCACAGAAUUAGAGGGAAAGA
rnacentral:lncRNA from 12 species